rnacentral:rRNA from 1 species
AGAGUUUGAUCCUGGCUCAGAGCGAACGUUAGCGGCAGGCUUAACACAUGCAAGUCGAGCGACAAAGGGGCUUCGGCCCUGAGUAGAGCGGCGGACGGGUGCGUAACACGUGGAUAAUCUGCCUCGUGGCGGGGGAUAACAGUCCGAAAGGACUGCUAAUACCGCAUGUCAGGUCGGAAACCCCGGUUUCUGACGAAAAAGAGGGCGCCCGCAAGGGGCUCUCACCACGAGAUGAGUCCGCGGCCCAUCAGCUAGUUGGCGGUGUAAUAGACCACCAAGGCUAAGACGGGUAGCUGGUCUGAGAGGAUGACCAGCCACACUGGGACUGAGACACGGCCCAGACUCCUACGGGAGGCAGCAGUGGGGAAUAUUGGACAAUGGGCGAAAGCCUGAUCCAGCCAUGCCGCGUGAGUGAUGAAGGUCUUCGGAUCGUAAAGCUCUGUGGAAGGACGAAAAGCCUAACCUAAUACGUUAGGUCUUGACGGUACCUUCUUAGCAAGCACCGGCUAACU